rnacentral:misc_RNA from 1 species
GAUGAAGAACGUAGCGAAAUGCGAUAAGUAAUGUGAAUUGCAGAAUUCAGUGAAUCAUCGAAUCUUUGAACGCACAUUGCGCCCGCCAGUAUUCUGGCGGGCAUGCCUGUUCGAGCGUCAUUUCAACCAUCAAGCCCCAGGCUUGUGUUGGGGACCUGCGGCUGCCGCAGGCCCUGAAAACCAGUGGCGGGCUCGCUGUCACACCGGGCGUAGUAGAUUUUAUCUCGCUCAGGGCGUGCUGCGGGUCCCGGCCGUUAAAAGCCUUUUUUUACCCAAGGUUGACCUCGGAUCAGGUAGGAAGACCCGCUGAACUUAAGCAUACAAUAAGCGGAGGA